AUGCCUUUUCUUUCACUACUAUUUGUACAGCAAACCAACGGAGGGAGUACAAUGCCUUCUAACCAUGCAGUAGCAGUUCCCACCCAAUGCUACUGUUUUGUACACAGACGAGAAGUUUGUUUGAGAAAGAGGAGCAUGCUUCCUGCCUUUCAUCCAAUAUUAUAUAUUUCUAUUUCUUAUGUGGAACUAACAAUUCAUGUCUCUAGCUUCUACUACUUUAUCGUUUUAGACAAAAGCUUUUGUAACCAUGAUGCUGGUAUACUUGUGAUACGGACUACAUGUGCUACCACAUUAAUAGGUUCAUUCGUCGCAAGGAAAAAAAUCUACUUGGUGUCGGGAACCAAAGCAACAACAGAUCAAGUUACUUGGUCGGAAGAAAUUGUCAAGGGUCGCAUCUUACGCAUGAUUGGAAGUGGCGAUCUUUUGUCUAUCUCACCUAAGUUACAUGAUAUAAAAGGUGUAGAACAACCUAGAAUUUUGCGCCUCAACUAUGUGUCAUAUUUUCUUAUUAUCAUAUACUUUUUUUGA
rnacentral:rRNA from 1 species